rnacentral:lncRNA from 1 species
GACUAUCACUUUUAUAAGCUUCUCCUUGGUUCUGGCGUUCAUAUAAAUAAAAGAGACAAACAUGUAUGAUUUACAACUCUAGAUUAACCAACCCAACUGAUUCAACAUGUUUAGUCCUUUAAUCCUUGUUCUUAGCACUACCUCCAUGAUCCCACACUCCUAAUCAUAUGAGCUAAAAUGUUACACAUUCAAUCAUUGAGAGAUAUAUAGAAAAAGACAUAUACAUAGAUAGAUUAUCUUUACAUCAGGUUGAGUGAUCUGAUGUGACAAACGUUAUAAGUGCUACACUCAUGAACUUUUCAUCCAUCAACUUUGUCUUGCUCACUAUGCUUAGGGUUAGAGAAGAACAAAUACACUUUAGGUUCUGUUGGUGUUUUCCACCAACAGGACCCAUGCACUUGAUCUCUGCCUUGUCACUAUGAGCAGGUACACUUUGAGCAAAACACGGAGGAGUUUUAUAACUCUCAGACUCUACCAAGUGAAGGACCUGGAUCUAUGAGCACAAACACACUGAGCAGGUUACUACCAACGCCGCACUUCGAACUGCUGGGCAAACGAAGAGGUGCAGACGUUAAGGUCCGCACCUGAAUCAAAUGACGCACCUGAAGAAUGAACACGGUGAGAAGUCUUGUUAAGAAGACUUAAAACAUUGAACCCUCGCCGAAAGGUAAGAUCGGUAGUUAUUCAUAUUUAUCCUUUCUGCAUUCCCUUUUUCCUUUAAUUAUUUACUUUCCUUAAAUAGAUUAUUAGUUAAUCAUGCUAUCUUGAAAAGAAAAUAAAAAUGUUAAAAAAAUACUAAGCCCCAUAUGAGUAUACGAGUGGCAUAAAACCCAUAAGUACCUUCACUGUGGUGGCAUAAAAAUAAAAUAAAUAUUUCUUUUCUGCUUUAUAAAAUAAAAAUAAAAAAACAGGGAGUAAUAUUUAUUGAGGAAGCUCAACAUGAUGAAGGCUAGAUAUUUAUGCUAACACUUAAUUAAUUCCACAAGCUUUGUUGUCUAUUUGAGCUCCACAGAACUUAAGAAUCAAGAAGACUAGCAGACGGAGAAUAUUCUAAUCGCUGUCAGAAUGCUGCUGACUUCCAAAUACACCUCUGCCACCUGCUAGCUACAUCAAGAGAAAUUACGUCAAAAUUCAGCUUGGGGGAGAGCACCCCCAUUUAUCUCGCUAAGUAUUUAUACCUAUCUUUAUACUUAUAUUAUAUUAGAAUACUAAAAUACAUAAACUAUGAAAAACCAAAUAAAGAUUUUGUGCUUAUAUAUAUAUCUUUUGCUUAAUGUGUUUAAUAAAUAAAUAAAGUGGCUAUGCUAAUCUGAAUCGUAAUAAUAAAACUCUAGCAUGGAUAUGAUGAAUAGUUUCUCUGCCUAGUUUGCACAUUUGAAGUUCUCUCUCAAGUUUAGACAUAACUGUUAUAAUUUAAUGCUUGCUCUAGAUCUAAACUUGUGGGAUGAAAACUUGAUCUGAAAUCUAAGUUGUUAACGGAUAUGAUAUGGGAAGGUUGAGCUGCUGUUUAUCUGUUCCUAGAGAUGCUAGAAUUCGGGAGAAUCUUAUCUUUGAAAAAUCUUUAAAAUAUUGCAUGAUGAGUUCCUGUAUGAUGAGAGUUUAAAUUCCUACCACAGCCAUAUAUACAUGCUUGCUAGACUUUGAGCCACACAUUUAUUAUUUACUGCUUAUGAGCAUUGAGUGUGGUCAAGCUGUGUAGACCCUUAGGAGCUUGUCAUGUGGUUAAAUCAAGAUUCACUUGCACGUUCACUCAUAUAUGCUACUUCUACUUCGGAAGUACCAUCCACAUAUAUCCAUCCAUGUCCAUCUCCAGAACCACCCAAAAAUAUUCUACUCCUAAUCCGGGAGAGAAUAGCCAAAAAUAUUUCUGUUUUCUCUUGUGAAAUAAAUGCUCAAGUUAUCUUGCUACUACCACUUGCUAUAUUAUCUCAAGAGAUGAGUGCUCUGAAAAAAAAGAGAAAAGAGAAAAAAAAUAUAAACGAGGAAAUAAAAAGGGGCAAGUGCCCGAAACCUCGAAAGAAAGAAAAAGUGAGACGAGAGGUAAAAAUGGACAAGUGUCCGACAGUAGAAUUAGGGGUACAAGAUACCCACCUGAGAGGAAAGAAAAAGAAGAGCAUCUCAUUCUCCUUAUAAAGUUUCAAAAAGCAAGGAAGGUAUGUAUCCCGUCAAAAGAGCAAAAGUAGAAUCAGACUUUCACCAUUGUUAUCACCAUCAUCACCAUACACCAUUCAUUCGCCACACAUGCACAUCUUGAUUUGGCUUAUUGAUUUGUUUCUUUGGAUCCAUGGUUUGACUAUACAAUAAAUGUCUUGUAAGUAUGUAUACUUUAUCUCCCACCUAUGAGCUCCAGAUAUUAAAGCCUUAUUAGAGUAGGGUGAGAGAGAAGGCAAUGUCACUAUGCCUUAUACCACAAAUACCACAUAUCUUGAGAGAAGGCAUAUACCAUCACUGCCUUGGUAAGGAUCCAGAAAUACCACAAAAGAGAGAUUUAGAGAGUCAUACAAGGAAUCUCUGAGUUUUAUUUGAAAAUCUGCAAAAACUCCAGAGCUAUAGCUGAUCAAGAAUAAGAGACAUGGCACUUGGCUAGACUGUUCUAUCUUUUAACUACUCAAGACAGAAGUGACGGUUACAAGUCCCAUGGUGAAAGGUAAAGUAAGUAAGUUUUAGUUCUUGACAGUUUACUCUAAUUUAGAGAUGAGAUCUUAUUUAAAAGCAUGUGUACCGUCAAAUUUUUAAGAUAUUGCAACAACUUCUGAUCCAUUGCUGAGAUUAUCCUUGCUUAGGGACGAGCAAGAGUUAAGCUUGGGGGAGUUUGUUGACGGUCCUUAAGUAUCACAUUUAAUUAUCAAAUAAACAAAGAAAAGGAUUCAAAUGAAAUCAACAUCUAGACUUAGGGUUUUAUCUGACAGAAUUCCAUGAGUUUUGGGGUUUGUCUAUUUCUGCAGGGGGUUAUCAGGAAAUACGGAAGAAAGGCCCACACGUCGGGAUUACAUAGAGAUAUUAACGUACCGCGCAAUUAUCUUACAUCUAGAAGACUCCAGAAGCCACAGGAAGGAAGCGGAGGCCGAACGGGGCCAGAGGCAGGGCGCCCGCCCUCCUGCCCUGGACGCCCGCCCACCUCUGGAGCCCAAUCGGGACUCUUUCUCUCGGGAGAUCUCCACCGACCUAAAGGAUCAAGAAUAACCGUUCAAUCAAUGUCGGUUUGAUCCGACGGCCCAGGUUCACUUGAGGGGACUAUAAAACCAGACCCCCUGGCCCCUGGAGGAGGCACCCCUUGAUCAUUAAUCAUUAUUCAUAGACAGAGCAAAAGCUAGGGUUUAGAGAUGAGAGCUCUCCUCUCUUCUCUAAACUAGAGUAGAUCUAGAUAGUAGCAAGAUGGAGAGCGAAGGAGGAUUAGAGGAGAGGCCGGCCUGUCGGUUCUUCCUCCGGUUGUACUUCGUCAUGAUCAAGCUCUAAUCAAGCUUGCUCAUGGGAUGACUCUGGUAAUCUACUUCUAAUUCAUUAUGCAAUUACUAAUUAUGUAUGUUCUGGUUCACAACUCUUUUGAGUAUUCUAAUCUAUAGGACGCUAUAGGUUAGAGUUGUAGUAUAGGUGUAAGCGUGGUGCUUAGACCUAGAUUACUUGUGGAUAUCCCCUGUCUAGCUGGAUCGUGUGGUAGGCCGCGUAGAUGACAGUUACGUUGGUCCUCUGUAGUCCACCUCUCGUUAGCAUGACGGGUAGGGUUUAUCGGCCUAAGGAUAAGCAUCCUUUGUGGUGUACUCUUAUCACGUGGUUCGUCCCAGACAUAGACAUACCCCUUUGAAGUAGAGAAACCAUAGUUAUCCUCUCUAUUCUGCUACCAUCGCCCAUAUACUAGAUUGCUCUACUCUCUAUUCCCAUAUUAUCACCCAUUGUUAUCUUACCUUUAAUAUUAUUCGAUUCUACCAUCUUUCCUAUUUACACCUAUGUACUUAUCCUGGUUAAGUUAGAGCGUAGUUGGUUCUCCCGUUUCCCUGUGGAUACGAUAAAACCUUUAACCGGGUAAAAGCUUCAACGGUAUCCGUGCGCUUGCGGAUUAUCUGUGUGCGUAUAAAUACCAUAGUACACUCUAGUGCCAUGCUGGGGAUGACAACCUAGUAUUCAAGUUGUGUUAGCAAGUGUCAACAAUGAUUGGUUGGACAUACCUUGUACUUGCUUAUCAUUUAUCUGAUCUUCUUGUUCCAAUCCUGGAAAGGUUAGUGACAAGAAUACCCGAAGGAAUAUUUUUACAAUUAUCCUUAUAUGCUCAAUACACAAGGUAAUGUUGCAAAUAAUUAAAAACUCAUGUUAUGAUCUGAUCAGUGCUUAUUUUAGGACACCAAGCUUGUCCUUGGGAAACCAUCAAUUUAUUUCGGCGAAGUGGUUUCCGUUCCAACGCUGACCUAAAUCAAGAUCAACUCAACGAGAUCUGCAAUAUUUAUUAUAGACAUAUGCAUCGACAACUGCCCUUUUAAAGUUUUUAUAAAUAGAAAGGAAGAGGGGGUUGGAGAUCUCAAAUGUGGUGAUGUUGGAGAGACCAAUAGAUUGGGAAGAUGUUGCAUAUGAGCAUGGAGUAAACGAAGUGGCUAUGAAAUAAAUUCUAUGCUCAUUAAUGUUAUCUUCGUCUCCAAUCUGAAUGUUCGGAGUUUCUCCUAGAUUGGUCUCACCUAUGUCCUCUUCUGUAGUUGGAUGAACCUCAUCUUCAAAGGGAGUCAAGAACUCACCAUUUGAAAUUGAGCCAAAGUCAUAAUCCAUUAAGGCUUCUUCCUUAUCCAUCCAUUCUACACAUUCUAGCCAUUUAGAACUUGUGAUCAGGAAAGGGGAGGUGUUAGAAUUUUCUAUAUGGUUUGGCUCUCCUUCUAUGACAUUACUUGACAUGUCAUCCUCAUGGUCUUUAUGACUCCUAUGGUUUGAUCGUCUUGAUGGAUUGUUAGGAUUAUCAUGAGACUUAAAAGGAGAAGGAUAAGAGGUGUCUCUAAGGUCAAGGAUGGAUUUAAAAUUUGUGAACAUGGAAGGGGAGAAGAUAGAAUCUUCUAUAUGGUUUAGCUCUCCUUCACUUGAUAUGUCAUCCUCGACUUCUUCAUAACAGGAACCAGGACAUUCUCUAAAAGAACCAUUAUUGCAAGGAUUUGAAUUAUCCCUGCUUGAAGGUCUCUUAUGAGACCAGAAGUCUAAACCAUCAGCAUCUGAAAGAUUUAAGGUCGGAAUUCCUUCCUCCCUUGGAGAAUUUGGGGGUAUUGAUGGUUUAGGAUCGAUAGCUAAAGUUUGGGAUUGAAGUGGUUGUGAUCUGGCUAUCGAAACUUCUUCUUUUUGUCUAGGAACUGGUUCUGUCUCUUUCUCAAGGAUAUAAUAGCUUGGAGACUUUCUGCUCAUUAAAUCAAUCAAAUUCUAAGCUUCACUAGCGGAUAGGUGGUGGAAAGAUCCUCCAGAGGCCGCAUGAAGGGUUUGCUUAUUUUCCCUACUAAGGCCCUCAAAAAAGUGUAUUAGAAGAACUUCUUCUGGAAUAGAAAGCUUUGGGCCAGUAAGAGUAAGGCUAAUGAAGCGGUCCCAUGAUUUGCCAAGAGAUUCUUCUUCCAGUUGUCUAAAAGAAAGAAUCUCAUGCCAAAGUUCCACCACUUUGGAGAUUGGAAAAUAUUUAAAAAGAAAACUAUUAUGUAACUCCUUCCAAUCUCCAUGAACACUCCCUAUUUUGAGUUUGUACCAAUGUCUAGCUUUUCCCGUUAGAGAGAACGGAAAGAGCUUCCAUUUAAGGGUCUCAUCGGACAUGCCUUCUAUGCGAAGGAGGUCACAGACUCUAUAAAACUCUCUUAGGUGUGUGUAUGGGUUUUCCUCACCUUCUCCUGAGAAAGGUUGUUUUUGAACAAAUUCUAUGUAUUCGGGGUCUAUCUCAAAACUAGAUGCUAUGAUAGGCUUUGAAGAUUUUGGUGGUUCGAGAUGUGUGCCCGUAGGUCUACGAAAUUCAUAGAUAGACAUGUUUGAAUUCAUGAUAGACCAGAGAUCAAGGAUUAGAUAAGAAGAAAGAUUAGCAGAGAUGAGGCAAAGGAUAAAAGGAAAAAAUAUAUAUUUUUUUAUUUUUUUUAGAAAAUGAUUAAGCUAGUUCGUAGUCAACUCAGCAACCGUUUCCCCGGAAACGGCGCCAAAAAUGCUUGUUGACACUUGCUAACACCACUUCAAUACUAGGUUGUCAUCCCCAGCAUGGCACUAGAGUGAACUAUGGUAUUUAUACGCACACAGAUAAUCCGCAAACGCACGGAUACCGUUGAAGCUUUUACCCGGUUAAAGGUUUUAUCGUAUCCACAGGGAAACGGGAGAACUGAUCUACGCUCUAACUUAACCUAGAUAGAUAGAUAGGUGUAAAUAGGAAAAAUGGUAGAAUUGAAUAGGAACAAUAUUAAAGGUAAGAUAACAGUGAGUGAUAAUAUGGGAAUAGAGAGUAGAGCAAUCUAGUAUAUGGGCGAUGGUAGCAGAAUAGAGAGGAUAACUAUGGUUUCUCUACUUCAAAGGGGUAUGUCUAUGUCUGGGACGAACCACGUGAUAAGAUUACACCACAAAGGAUGCUUAUCCAUAGGCCGAUAAACCCUACCCGUCCUGCUAACGAGAGGUGGACUAUAGAGGACCAACGUAACUGUCACCUACGCGGCCUACCACACGAUCCAGCUAGACAGGGGAUAUCUACAAGUAAUCUAGGUCUAAGCACCAUGUUGACGGUCCUUAAGUAUCAAAUUUAAUUAUCAAAUAAAUAAAGAAAAGGAUCCAAAUGAAAUCAACAUCUAGACUUAGGAUUUUAUCUGACAGAAUUCCACGAGUUUUGGUGUUUGUCUUUUCUGCAGGGGGUUAUCAGGAAAUAUGGAAGAAAGGCCCACACGUCGGGAUUACGUAAAGAUAUUAACGUGCUGCGCAAUUAUCUUACAUCUAGAAGACUCCAGAAGCCACGAGACCGAAGCGGAGGCGAAACGGGGCCUGACCCAGGGCACCCGCCCAGUUGGUCAGGGCGCCCGCCCUGCCCCUGAGUCCAAUUAGGACUCUGCUUUGCGGGAGAUUUCCACCGACCUAAAGGAUGAAUCUAAACCAUACAAUCUAUGUCGGUUUGAUCCAAGGGCCCAUAUUCACUUGAAGGAACUAUAAAACCAGACCCCCUGGCCCCUGGAGGAGAGAGCCUCUCAACCCUAAUUUAUUGUUCCAUCAAGGGAGAAGAAGCCUCUGAUCAAGAUUAGAGCCACCACAUCAAUUAGAUAUCUAGAUUAGCAUAGCUACAUAGGAUUAGAACUAGAAGGAGUCAAUCUUCGAUUGGUUUCCGGAUCUGUCAAGAGGAUUCUUGGUAAUUCUCUAAUUGUGCUUCUAAUUGCUUUCUAAUUAUCUUUGUUCUUCAAUAUUAUGAAUAUGAAUUUGUUCUACUUCAAUAUAUUGCUUAUGACUUUGCUCUACUUGCUUAUAUUCAAGAUUAUAUUGUUCUUAGUUUAUCAUAGUUAUGUACUUGGCUUAGUUAGAUUCGAUCUAUAUACAUGCUUAGGAUCGUAUAGCGUUUAUCCAUCGGAUCCAUGGGUAAAUGAUAGAUAUUGUGUAGGCAUGGUGCUUAUACCGUAUUUGUCUGCGAUUGUACCCAAUAUGCCAGAUCAUGGGGUGGUUCGUGAUAGUGACAGCUUCAUUGAUUCUUAUAUAGUCCCCCUCUCGUGUAUUGGGCUGGCAGAGCAACAUUAUUACAGGGGAGUGAUUGCUAUGUUUCUCAUAUUCCUUGCUAAUAUCACUAUGCAUGGGCGUAGUCUUGUCUCGCAAUGAUUGCUAAGUAUGCUUGCACUAACUAUGAUAUGCUAGACUAUAUAGUUGAGAGUAACUUAGGGAAUAUUCUUGUAGUUCGUUCUAAUACCAUGCUAAUGACUUUCUAGAGUAUCUAAUUGAGGUGCUUAUCAUAUUUAUUAUGUGGCUAGAUCAGAUUAGUUAUCCUUGUCACUAUUAUUAUUUCAUAUAUCUUUUAUGUGACACUUAUCCCUGUAUGAAGAGUUAGAUAUAAUGUUCUCAAUUAUACAUGCAAUGAUAGAUGCUCAAUCUUAUAUUCUAUUCUGUAAUCAAUAGUGAUGAUUGCUAAUCCCUUCCCAGUGGUAAAAAUAUAAAUAACGAUACCUGGAAUACUUCCCGGUUAAAAUGCUGCAUCGGUAUUAAUCUGUGCGCUUGUAGAUCCCAUUCAUUAUUUAUUUAGAAGAGCAAUUGCAUAUUUCAAUACCGCAUCUCUUAUAUCAUGCUGGGGAUGACAACUUGGCUUAAGUGGUGUGAGGGAUAGGUUUGGCAUUUUUGGCACCGUUACUAGAUUUAGAGAACUUAGUCUACUUUUGGUAAUGAUGUUAAGAAUACCCAACAAGCAUAUUUGGCGCCGUUGCCGGGGAAGGUUGAUUACUAAUCAGGAAUGGAAUAAAAGAUUUUGAGUUAUCAUUCGCAUCACUAAUAUGAUUGAGCUUAUCUAUUCUCUCAUACAGUUUUACCCCGAUAUUUUUCUAUUUUAUCUUAUGCAGGGGAAGGUAUGAAUAGAAGACAUCUUCCAGGAAAUUUUGUUGACAACCCUGAAGCAUUAUUCAAGAAGAUGAGAGCCAAGCUAAAGAAAUAAUCAACAUUUUAGCAAGAAGCUUCAUCCAAUCAAGAAGAUCACCGGAACUUGUCUUCAGAGUUCGAAGCCAUGGCGAACAAAUCAAUCCGUGAGUUCUUAGCUCCCACUACGGACAACAUCCGCACUGGACCUGCUGCAGAGAUCGAUGGCAACUUUGAGCUCAAGCCUGGACUUAUCAACAUGGUGCAAUCCAACCAGUUCUGUGGGAAGGCACAUGAAGAUGCUAGUGCUCAUUUACAACACUUCCUGGAGAUUUGCAACACAUUCACCAUAUCAGGAGUUUCCAAAGAUGCUAUACUACUUCGCCUCUUCCCAUUCUCACUGUUAGGAAGAGCGAAGCAGUGGUUCUACGCUACAAAGGAGAAGAAUACUACGUGGGCACUCUGCUCAACAAACUUCCUGGCUAAGUUCUUUCCCAUGGGCAAGACCAAUGCUCUCCGUGGGAAGAUUACAAGUUUUCAGCAACAAAAUGAUGAAUCUAUUCCAGAAGCAUGGGAGCGCUUUCAAGACUACAUCCUAGAAUGUCCCCAUCAUGGAAUGGAGAGUUGGCUAUUGAUGCAGACGUUUUAUCAUGGGCUCGGCAACAAUGCCCGAGAGACCAUGGAUGCUGCAGCUGGAGGAGCAUUCUUAUCACUUACUAUACCACAAGCCACAGCUCUUGUGGAGAAGAUGGCGUCCAAUCAAAGCUGGAAUGAAGAGAGGACCCAGACACGCAAGAGAGGUGGAGGUAUGCAUCAGCUGAAGGAGGUAGACAUGCAGUCUGCAAAGCUAGACCUGCUCAUGAAGAAGCUCAAUGAUAGAGCUGGAGACAAGAAAGAAGUUAUGCACACCUACGACUCUCACAUGACUUAUGAGGAGUGUGGAGACACUGGACACUCAGGCAACCACUGCCCUGAGAUACUUGAGGAUGUGAACUACAUCAACAACAACUACUACUACUACUACAACCGUCCUCAACAAAAUCAAGGUUGGAAUCAACAGAGGCCUAACUACUCAGGUAAUUAUCAAGGUAACAAUUCUUACAAUAAUAAUUUUCCACCUUUGAGAGAGUUAGUGUCUAAUCAAGGAAAGCUAAUGGAUAACCUAUCUAAGAAAUUGGCAUCUAAUGAUAAAAUGCUAGAAAAUAUAAAUAAUAGAAUGGAUAAUUUUUCUACUGCCAUCAAGAAUCAAAUUAGCUUUAAUAAAAUGAUUGAAUCUCAGUUAAAUCAAAUAGCUGCUGCUGUUCCUACUACUAACCCCGGUAUACCAUCACAACCGGAAGGAUUAGAAUCUGCAAAUCUUGUAGACAUGUUUGAUGCAGGUAAUUGGAGUAACCCCGUCAAUGAAUUCUCUACUGACCUUCUGCUGGUCAAGAGUGGAGAUCCAGGACGCCCCGUCAUCCCGAUCUCCAUCGGCAUGGUGGACAUUCUAGAAGCACUCUGUGACUUUGGCUCCAGUGUCAACAUUAUACCCAGGGUACUCUAUGAAAAAUUCUUUAAAUAUCCUUUAUUAGAGACAACCAUGUGUUUGCAAUUUGCAGAUCAGACGAUAACUUUUCCAAAAGGAAUAUUGAAGAACCUUUGUGUCCGAGUUGGUACCUUGUAUGCCCUAGCAGACUUCGUAGUAGUAGAGACCGGAAAUGAUGAGAGAGCACCCAUCAUCUUAGGGAGGCCAUUCUUGAACACCACGGGAGCUAUCAUCUACGCCAGUGCUGCCAAGAUCAGUUUCUACGUCAAAGGGAGGAAGGAGACAUUUUUCUUCAAGAACAAGACUACACAAAUUCCAGAUCAAUCCAGACGUGAAUCAAGGAAGAGGACCAAUAGGAGGAACAGGAACAAGCAAGUGUGGACCGAGUCAGCUAAGAUGGUCACUGUAGUUCAUGGAGGCCAAGAUCACCAACUUAAGUCACCGUGUUUGACCAAGAAGGACGACCCAGGAAUGCCAAGCAUUUACUGCUCCAUAAAUGGAUACAACUUCUACAAGACAUUUUGUGACACCGGAUCAGGCGUCAACAUAAUGGCCGCAGUCACCUAUCGGCUCUUGUUCGGGACCAUGCCCCUAAGACCAACAUACAUUCAGCUCCAGAUGGCAGAUCAGACAUUUCGAGAAGUUAAAGGAAUAGUAACUGAUGUCCCAGUCAAAAUAGACGAUCACUUUGUCUACACAGACUUUCAAGUUAUUGACAUGGGAGAAGAUGAAUACGAUCCACCCAUCAUCCUUGGAAGACCGUUCCUCGGCACCGUCAAAGCAAUUAUCUACAUUGGAACCGGAGAAGUCCAUAUGCACUUCCCCUCAGAGAAGGUACGCCGUUAUUUUACUGACCCUAACUAUAUUGUUAAAGAAUCUAAGCAGGUCAGAAAGAGACGCAACCGCAACCAGAGGAGGCAGAUCAUCAAGGACGGAUGGGCAGACUAUGAAGGAGAAGUUGUAAGAUCAGAAGACGUUGAGUUUAAACAGAAUUAUCCAGAGGAGAUUGAAGCACCGAGUCAGGUAUAGAAAAUGAAGAUAACUAUACAAGAAGAGGAGGCGCUGCCGGAAGUACCGACUACGCCACCCAACGAACCUCAGGACGAUUGAAAAAAUGGAGAGUCCCGUUCGGUGGACUUAAAAACACCGAACGCCUUGCCAAGAGGUAAACUUGGUAGUUAUCCUUUCCCUUUCAAUUAUUUUAAAUAGUUUACUUAGUUAAUCAUGUUCGUACUAUCUUAAAAAGAAAAUAAAAAUAUGAGAAAAACAGUAAGCCCCAUGUGAGUAUACGAGUGGCAUAAAACCCAUAAGUACAUUCACUGUGGUGGCAUAAAAAUAAAAUAAAUAUUUUUCUGCUUUAUAAAAUGAAAAUAUAAAAACAGGGAGUAAUAAUUAUUAAGGAGUCUCAACAUGAUAAAGGCUAGAUAUUUAUGCUAACACUUAAUUAGUUCCACAAGCUUUGUUGUCUAUUUUAGCUCCACAGAAUUUAAGAAUCAAGAAGACUAGCAGACGGAGGACAUUCUAAUCGCUGUCAGAAUGCUGCUGACUUUCAAAUACACCUCUGCCGCCUGUUAGCUACAUCAAGACAAAUUACGUCAAAAUUCAGCUUGGGGGAGAGCAUCCCCAUUUAUCCCGGUAAGUAUUUCUAUCUAUCUUUAUACUUAUAUUAUUUUAGAAUAUAAAUAUACAUAACUAUGGAAAACCAAAUAAAGAGUUUAUGCUUAUAUAUAUACAUAUAUAUAUAUAUAUAUCUUUUGCUUAGUGUGUUUAAUAAAUAAAUAAAGUGGCUAUGCUAAUCUGUAUCUAAAUAAAACUUAAGCAUGGAUAUGAUGAAUAGUUGCUCUGCCUAAUUUGCACAUUUUAAGUUCUCUCUCUCAAGUUUAGAUAUAACUGUUAUAAUUUAAAGCCUGCCCUAGACCUAAACUUGUGGGAUGAAAACUUGAUCUAAAGUCUAAGUUGUUAACGGAUAAGAUAUGGGAAGGUUGAGCUGCUGUUUAUCUGUUCCUAGAGAUGCUAGAAUUCUGGAGAAUUUUAUCUUUGAAAAUCUUUUAAAAUGUUGCAUGAUGAGUUCCUGUAUGAUGAGAGUUUUAAAUUCCUACCACAGCCAUAUAUACAUGCUUGCUAGACUUUGAGCCACACAUUUACUAUUUACUGCUUAUGAGCAUUGAGUGUGGUCAAGCUGUGUAGACCCUUAGGAGCUUGUCAUGUGGUUAAAUCAAGAUUUCACUUGCACGUUUACUCAUAUAUGCUACUUCUACUCCGGAAGUACCAUCCACAUAUAUCCACCCAUUCCAUCUCCAAAAUCACCCAAAAAUAUUCUACUCCUAACCCGGGAGAGAAUAACCAAAAAUAUUUCUGUUUUCCCUUGUGAAAUAAAUGCUCAAGUUAUCUUGUUACUACCACUUGCUAUAUUAUCUCAAGAGAUGAGUGCUCUAAAAAAAGGAGAAAUACAAGGAAAUAAAAAGGAGCAAGUGCUCGGAACCUCGAAAGAAAAGAAAAAAAAGUGAGACGAGAGGUAAAAAUGGACAAGUGUCCGACAGUAGAAUUAGGGGUACAAGAUACCCACCUGAGAGAAAAGAAAAAAAAGAAGAGCAUCUCAUUCUCCUCAUAAAGUUUCAAAAAGCAAGGAAGAUAUGUAUCCCCUCAAAGAGCAAAGUAGAAUUAGACUUCCACCACCAUUGUUUUCACCAUUGUUAUCACCAUCAUCACCAUACAUCAUUCAUUCGCCACACAUGCACAUCUUGAUUAAACUCAUUGGCUUGUUUCUUUGGAUCCAUGGUUUGACUAUGCAAUACAUGUCUUGUAAGUAUGUAUACUUUAUUUCCCACCUAUGAGCUCCAGAUAUUAAAGCCUUAUUAGAGUAGGGUGAGAGAGAAGGCAAUGUCACUAUGCCUUAUACCACAAAUACUACAUAUCUUGAGUGAAGGCAUAUACCAUCACUGCCUUGGUAAGGAUCCAGAAAUACCACAAAAGAGAGACCUGAGAGAAUCAUACAAGGAAUUCUGAGUUUUAUUUGAAAAUCUGCAAAAAACCCCAGAGCUAUAGCUGAUCAAGAAUAAGAGACAUGGCACUUGGCUAGACUGUUCUAUCUUUUAACUGUUCAAGAUGGAAGUGACGGUUAUAAGUCCCAUGGUGAAGGUAAAGUAAGUAAGUUUUAAGUCUUGACAGUUUACUCUAACUCAGAGAUGAGAUCUUAUUUAAAAGCAUGUGUACCAUCAAAUUUUUAAAGAUAUUGCAACUACUUCUGAUCCAUAGCUGAGUCUAUCCUUGCUCAGGGACGAGCAAGAGGUAAGCUUGGGGGAGUUUGUUGACGGUCCUUAAGUAUCAAAUUUAAUUAUCAAAUAAAUAAAGAAAAGGAUCCAAAUGAAAUCAACAUCUAGACUUAGGAUUUUAUCUGACAGAAUUCCACGAGUUUUGGUGUUUGUCUAUUUCUGCAGAGGGUUAUCAGGAAAUAUGGAAGAAAGGCCCACACGUCGGGAUUACGUAAAGAUAUUAACGUGCUGCGCAAUUAUCUUACAUCUAGAAGACUCCAGAAGCCACGAGACUGAAGCGGAGGCGAAACAGGGCCUGACCCUGGGCGCCCGCCCAGUUGGUCAGGGCGCCCGCCCUGCCCCAGAGUCCAAUCAGGACUCUGCUUUGCGGGAGAUUUCCACCGACCUAAAGGAUGAAUCUAAACCAUACAAUCUAUGUCGGUUUGAUCCAAGGGCCCAUAUUCACUUGAAGGGACUAUAAAAACCAGACCGCCUGGCCCCUGGAGGAGAGAGCCUCUCAACCCUAAUUCAUUGUUCCAUCAAGGGAGAAGAAGCCUCUGAUCAAGAUUAGAGCCACCACAUCAAUUAGAUAUCUAGAUUACCAUAGCUACAUAGGAUUAGAACUAGAAGGAGUCAAUCUUCGAUUGGUUUCCGGAUCUGUCAAGAGGAUUCUUGGUAAUUCUCUAAUUGUGCUUCUAAUUGCUUUCUAAUUAUCUUUGUUCUUCAAUAUUAUGAAUAUGACUUUGUUCUACUUCAAUAUAUUGCUUAUGACUUUGCUCUACUUGCUUAUAUUCAAGAUUAUAUUGUUCUUAGUUUAUCAUAGUUAUGUACUUGACUUAGUUAGAUUCGAUCUAUAUACAUGCUUAGGAUCGUAUAGCGUUCAUCCAUCGGAUCCAUGGGUAAAUGAUAGAUAUUGUGUAGGCGUGGUGCUUAUACCGUAUUUAUCUGCGAUUGUACCCAGUAUGCCAGAUCGUGGGGUGGUUCGUGAUAGUGACAGCUUCAUUGAUUCUUAUAUAGUCCCCCUCUCGUGUAUUGGGCUGGCAGAGCAACAUUAUUACAGGGGAGUGAUUGCUAUGUUUCUCAUAUUCCUUGCUAAUAUCACUAUGCAUGGGCGUAGUCUUGUCUCGCAAUGAUUGCUAAGUAUGCUUGCCCUAACUAUGAUAUGCUAGACUAUAUAGUUGAGAGUAACUUAGGGAAUAUUCUUGUAGUUCGUUCUAAUACCAUGCUAAUGACUUUCUAGAGUAUCUAAUUGAGGUGCUUAUCAUAUUUAUUAUGUGGCUAGAUCAGAUUAGUUAUCCUUGUCACUAUUAUUAUUUCAUAUAUCUUUUAUGUGACACUUAUCCCUGUAUGAAGAGUUAGAUAUAAUGUUCUCAAUUAUACAUGCAAUGAUAGAUGCUCAAUCUUAUAUUCUAUUCUGUAAUCAAUAGUGAUGAUUGCUAAUCCCUUCCCAGUGGUAAAAAUAUAAAUAACGAUACCUGGAAUACUUCCCGGUUAAAAUGCUGCAUCGGUAUUAAUCUGUGCGCUUGUAGAUCCCAUUCAUUAUUUAUUUAGAAGAGCAAUUGCAUAUUUCAAUACCGCGUCUCUUAUAUCAUGCUGGGGAUGACAACUUGGCUUAAGUGGUGUGAGGGAUAGGUUUGGCAUUUUUGGCACCGUUACUAGAUUUAGAGAACUUAGUCUACUUUUGGUAAUGAUGUUAAGAAUACCCAACACACCACGCUUACACCUAUACUACAACUCUAACCUAUAGCGUCCUAUAGAUUAGAAGUACUCAAAAGAGCUGUGAACCAAAACAUACAUAAUUAGUAAUUGCAUAAUGAAUUAGAAGUAGAUUACCAGAGUCAUCCCAUGAGCAAGCUUGACGAAGUACAACCGGAGGAAGAACCGACAGGCCGGCCUCUCCUCUAAUCCUCCUUCGCUCUCCAUCUCGCUACUAUCUAGAUCUACUCUAGUUUAGAGAAGAGAGGAGAGCUCUCAUCUCUAAACCCUAGCUUUUGCUCUGUCUAUGAAUAAUGAAUAAUGAUCAAGGGGUGCCUCCUCCAGGGGCCAGGUGGUCUGGUUAUAUAGUCCCCUCAAGUGAACCUAGGCCGUCGGAUCAAACCGACAUUGAUUGAACGGUUAUUCUUGAUCCUUUAGGUCGGUGGAGAUCUCCCGAGAGAAAGAGUCCCGAUUGGGCUCCAGAGGUGUGCGGGCGCCCAGGGCAGGAGGGCGGGCGCCCUGCCUCUGGCCCCGUUCGGUCUCCGCUUGCUUCUCGUGGCUUCUGGAGUCUUCUAGAUGUAACAUAAUUGUGCGGCACGUUAAUAUCUCUAUGUAAUCCCGACGUGUGGGCCUUUCUUCCGUAUUUCCUAAUAACCCCCUGCAGAAAUAGACAAACACCAAAACUCGUGGAAUUCUGUCAGAUAAAACCCUAAGUCUAGAUGUUGAUUUCAUUUGGAUCCUUUUCUUUGUUUAUUUGAUAAUUAAAUUUGAUACUUAAGGACCGUCAACAGCGACGACGAACGGCGGACGGCGGCUUUGCAAAGACGUUCGGCGAAGGUUACGCACCCGUUGGAAGCAAAAGAACAUGAACGAAACGACUCGGCAACUUCGCAAGAACGAGGAGAAGGUCGGCAAGUCGCUCACGGUGCCCAAUACGCGACAUAGCGGCGAAUUGCUUUCGGCGUGGAUCGCGGCAGCGAGAAUCGGCGGAAACUGCGCGGCGGCUGGUGCUCGGGUUGAGAUAGGGGUUGCGGGGCAGCGGGGCGGGUAUAUAAAGGGGAGAAGAGGCGCGGGGAAAGGACUGCUCGCGCGAAUCGCGCACGAUUGUUGCGGCUCGGGCUCGUGUCCUGUUCGGACACGAGGUAGGGGACGGCUCCGACAGCUGGGCCCCACCUGGCAGUGACACGAGGCGUGGGCCAGCUCUGUCAGCGACCGCAGCGGAGAGGAGGGCGCGCGGCUCGCUGGGCUACGCUGAGCGGGCCGGAAGCUGGCGUUGGGCCGCUGCGAGAAGGAAAGGGGGAAUGGGAAGGAAGACAGGCCGGGCCGAAGGAAAACAGGGGGGAGUGGGAUGUGGGCCUCCGGCCAAAACCAGUGGGUCUUCUCUUUUUAUUUUCUGUUUCUCUUUUCAUUUAAUAAAACAAACCUAUUUCAAAACAUUUUCAAAACCAAAUUUGAAUUUCUUUUCAAUCUUUCAGCCAAAACUACUCAUCACAAUAAAUCAAUGCAAAGGCAUGCAUGCUCAAACAAGUUGCUAGCUCCUAUGAUAAAUUUUAAUUUAAAGAAAAAUAUUAUUUUUCCUAUAUUUCAUGGGCACAAAAAUACACAAGUUAACAAUUUAUCCUAUUUUGGAAAAUUGCAAAUUUUGGGGUGUUACAAAAAGAUUCAUACAUGAUGUUGAUCCCCACAACAGGAUUAUAAAGAGCAUUAAAUCGAUCAGAAUUAUAAGCACAACGUAUAGAUAUAGAGGGUGUGACCAAACGGAUCACAUCAGAGGAAAGUUCCGAUUCCUCCAACCACUCGCUACUCAUGACUGAGAUAAGCUCUCUCAAUUGAUAUUCACUUGGUAAAUAAAUGCUAAACUGGCCGUUUUGGGGUUUAUCAAUAGAAUGGUAGUUUGAAAUGUUUCUAUCUAGGAUCACUCUAGCUUCAUCAGUAGGGAUGCGAAAGAAAGAACCUCUAGACAUUCUGUGUAGCAUUUGUUUGCGAUUUUUCUGAAGACCUCGAAAAAGUGAAAUAAAAGAACAGGGUCUUCAAGACUAAGGUUUGGACCAGAUUCUAAAAGAUCAGAAAAAUGUUUCCAGGAUUUUCCCAAAGUUUCAUUAUCUUUUUGUUUAAAAGAUAGGACUUUGAGUCUAAGGUCGCCGAUACAGUCGAGGGAAUAGAAAUCUAGACAAAAGUUGGCUCGUAAGACUCCCCAUUCACCUCGUUGUUGACUUACCUUCUGACUGUACCAUUGUCUAGCUUCUCCCCUUAAAGAAAAAGGAAAAAGCUUCCAACGUAAAGUUUUAUCAGAAAUGCCUUCAAUGCGAAGACAAUCACAUGUUUGCUCAAAAUCUCUAAUAUAAAGGUAAGGGUUUUCGUCUUCCUUUCCCAAAAAAGAUAGGUUUUGAAUCAUGGCAACCAACCUAGAACUUAACCUAUACUAGGAUGUUUGGAUAGGCUGUGAUGACUCCCAUGGUAAAAGGUCAGUUUCCGAAGGUGUUGCAAAUUGGUAGAUUGAUUUAGAAUCUUGGUUUUCCAUAAGGUAAGAAUAAAGAAAAUAAAUACAGAAUAUAAAAGAUAAGAAAAGAUAAAAGUAUAGAUACAAUCUAGUAGUAAGACUCAAGGUUAUCUCAGCAAACCGUCUUUCUCCCCGGCAACGGCGCCAGAAAUUCUUGUUGAUAUUUGGGAACGCAAUAAGGAAUUGAUCCGCAAGCGCACGGAUAUCGGUGAGCACUUCACCCGGGAGGUUAUCAAGAGUAUCGUAUUUAUUUUUUUACCACUAGGAGAAAGAGUGCAUCUGACUAACCUGGUCUAUUACUACUAACCCUUUAGGCAACAAAGAAUGUUUCUCGAUGUGAGUGAUAAAUAGAGAAGACUACAACCGUAAUCUCUUUCUAACCUUGGUAAGGAUGAUCUACUGUUCUAUUGGGGAGGCUAACGGAAUCUAGACACCACAAAGGAUGUUCAACCCGCACCUAUAAACCCUAUCCUUCCUGCUAACAAGAUAUGGUCUACAAAGGUAACUCGGAAAUGUCACGUUCCUCGUUACUACCACGGUCUAGCUAGUGAGGGAAUAUCUAUGAGUACCCUAGCCUAAACACCACGUUUACGCUAGCAAUGAUUACUCUAAACUCUACGCGAAGAGAUUAAAGUAAACUCAUAAACCAAAAGAACAAUAAAACAAGAACUUACUAGAAUUUAGAAGUCGAAAUACUGAAGAAUCCUAGGAGCAAGCCUCGGGUUAGGAGAACUUGAUCCCACAGGUACAAGCUCGGAGUAGACACCGACAGGCCGGGCUUUCUCCGAUCUACACCUCCACUCUAUCUCUCUCAAUCUAGUAGAAUCUAGAAGAUCUAUUUCUACUCACAUUGGAUGCUAAGCCUAAAAUGAAAUUUUAUUUAGAGAAGAGGUUUUCCUUCGAGGGCUCCCCUUAACUCUAUGAUAAACUUGUCUCCUCUAGGGGCCAGGGGGUCUGGUUUUAUAGUCCCCUCAAGUGAACGUGAGCCAUUGGAUCAAACCGACCUUGAUUGGACGGUUAUCCUUGAUCCUUUAGGUCGGUGGAACGUCGUGUGCGAAAAGAGUCCUGAUUGGAGUACAGAGGGGGGCGGGCGCCCAGGUCCUCAGGGCGGGCGCCCUGGGCCUGGCCCCUUUCGGCCUCUGCUUCGUUCUCGUGGCUUCUAGAGUCUUCUAGAUGGUAGAAAAUUGCGCGGUGCGUUGAUAUCUCUAUGUAAUCCCGACAUGUGGGUCUUUCUUACUUAUUUCCUGAUAACCCCCUGCAUAAAUAGAUAAACAACAAAACUCGUGGAAUUCUGUCAGAUCAAACCCUAAUUCUAGGUGUUGUAUGUAUAUUGGUCCUUUCUCUUGUUUAUUUGAUAAUUAAAAUUGAUACUUAAGAACCGUCAACAACGUUCACUCACACAUGCUACUUCUACUCCGGAAGUACGCAUCCACAUAUAUCCACUCAUUACCAUCUCCAGAACCACCCAAAAAUAUUCUACUCCUAAUCCGGGAGAGAAUAGCCAAAAAUAUUUCUGUUUUUCCCCUGUGAAAUAAAUGCUCAAGUUAUCAUGAGUACUACCACUUGCUAUAUUAUUUCAAGAGAUGAGUGCUCUAUAAAAAAAGAUACGAGGAAAUAAAAAGGGGCAAGUGCCCAGAACCUCGAAAGAAAGAAAAAGUGAGACGAGAGGUAAAAAUGGACAAGUGUCCGACAGUAGAAUUAGGAGUACAAGAUACCCGCCUGAGAGGAAAGAAAAAAGAAAUAUAGAGCAUCUCAUUCUCCUCAAAAAGUUUCAAAAGAGCAAGGAAGAUAUGUAUCCCCUCAAAAGAGCAAAAGUAGAAUUAGACUUUCACCAUUGUUAUUACCAUCAUCACCAUACACCAUUCAUUCGCCACACAUGCACAUCUUGAUUUGACUUAUUGACUUGUUUCUCUAGAUCCAUGGUUUGACUAUGCAAUAAAUGUCUUGUAAGUAUGUAUACUUUAUCUCCCACCUAUAAGCUCCAGAUAUCAAAAGCCUUAUUAGAGUAGGGUG